UACGGAGGGUGCGAGCGUUGUCCGGAAUCACUGGGCGUAAAGGGCGCGUAGGCGGCCUGAUAAGUAGGGGGUGAAAUCCUGCGGCUUAACCGCAGGGCUGCCUUCUAAACUGUCAGGCUCGAGCACAGUAGAGGCAGGUGGAAUUCCCGGUGUAGCGGUGGAAUGCGUAGAGAUCGGGAAGAACACCUGUGGCGAAGGCGGCGACCUGGGUAGAUACUGACGCUGAGGCGCGAAAGCGUGGGGAGCAAACAGG
rnacentral:rRNA from 1 species